rnacentral:rRNA from 1 species
GAUGAACGCUGGCGGCGUGCCUAAUACAUGCAAGUCGAGCGAACAGACGAGGAGCUUGCUCCUCUGACGUUAGCGGCGGACGGGUGAGUAACACGUGGAUAACCUACCUAUAAGACUGGGAUAACUUCGGGAAACCGGAGCUAAUACCGGAUAAUAUAUUGAACCGCAUGGUUCAAUAGUGAAAGACGGUUUUGCUGUCACUUAUAGAUGGAUCCGCGCCGCAUUAGCUAGUUGGUAAGGUAACGGCUUACCAAGGCAACGAUGCGUAGCCGACCUGAGAGGGUGAUCGGCCACACUGGAACUGAGACACGGUCCAGACUCCUACGGGAGGCAGCAGUAGGGAAUCUUCCGCAAUGGGCGAAAGCCUGACGGAGCAACGCCGCGUGAGUGACGAAGGUCUUCGGAUCGUAAAACUCUGUUAUUAGGGAAGAACAAAUGUGUAAGUAACUAUGCACGUCUUGACGGUACCUAAUCAGAAAGCCAACGGCUAACUACGUAGCCAGCAGCCGACGG